ACCUGCCAGACUACCAACACACAGAUGUGUCAGGACUGCCAAGGCUGGUGUGUUGUUCUUAACUACCACCCUCUUCACUAGCCUGUGGAUUCCAUCACUGAGAAAACAAGGAGACAAUCACUUUGUUACCCUUUUCCUUCAGCAUCCUGCACUACCUGUAUGUGCACAUAAAUACCUGUUUACUCCUCCUUGUUAAGGGUAGAGCCAGUGAAUAUUAUGGGAGGCUUUGUUAUAUUUUGACAAUGCUAAGAUUAGAACAUCUCAGUUCUAGAACAGCACUGCAUAGCACCCAUUUUGUGUCUGGGUAUUCACCUAUGCCAAGUUCUCAUUGCUACUUUCUUGUUUAUAGGGCCCUGGAAUGGCAAGGAAGUUCUCUGCUCCUGGGCAGCUGUGCAUUUCCAUGACCUCAAACAUGGGUGGCUCUACCCCCAUCUCUGCAGCAUCUGCUACCUCUCUAGGUCACUUCACCAAGUCCAUGUGCCCCCCACAGCAGUAUGGUUUUCCAGCUGCCCCAUUCGGCACUCAGUGGAGUGGAACAGGUGGUCCAGCACCACAGCCACUUGGUCAGUUCCAACCUGUAGGAACCACAUCCUUGCAAAAUUUCAACAUCAGCAAUUUGCAGAAGUCCAUCAGCAACCCCCCAGGUUCCAACCUACGGACCACCUAGUCAGCAGCAAGGAUGUUAACUGAGUAGAUCUGGGGGCAGGAAAUGGAAUGGUGAUGGGGUGGGGGGUGGGG
rnacentral:lncRNA from 1 species